rnacentral:rRNA from 1 species
CUGUCGUGUGUUGUAUCACUCACACGAUACUGCCGAGACAAACUCGGAGGAAGGCGGGGAUGACGUCAAGUCAAGCAUGGCCCUUAUGUCUUGGGCUACACCCACGCUACAAUGGCCGGUACAACGGGCUUGCGAAGCCGCGAGGCGGAGCGAAUCCCUUAAAGCCGGUCUCAGUUCGAAUUGCAGGCUGCAACUCGCCUGCAUGAAGCCGGAGUUGCUAGUAACCGCUGGUCAGCACACAGCGGUGAAUAUGUUCCCGGGGCUUGUACACACCGCCCGUCAAGUCACGAAAGUCGGCAAUACCCGAAGCCAGUGCGCCAACCGUAAGGGGC